rnacentral:lncRNA from 1 species
AAUGCACUAAAUCCCUGAUGCUUACACAGCCCAUUUCUCAGAGCAGGACCAUCCAGGCCCUGGAUACCCAGAGUACUGGUGACUGUUGCCAUGGUCUCUGCCUUCCAGUUCCUUCAGGUAGCCUCCACUCCAGCAGCUCUCACUUGAAGACCACACCAAAAGUUUGUUUUCAUCAAGAGAGAACAUGAGAACACUUUCCUCAACAACAAAUUUAAGUUUUCUGGAUAUCGGAGGGAAUGUGCCCCUUUGUAUAAAUGUUGGAGAGCUUCUUUCACUGAAGACAAGGUUCAAACAUAUGUAGCUAUUGAGUUACACAGGUGUCCUCAAUGGAAGACUUUGACAAAGCAUCUUGGAG